rnacentral:lncRNA from 1 species
AUGAACAAAAAUUAGUAUGCCACACAUUGUUACACUCAUGAAGAUCACAUCAUAUCUCACAAUCCAGAAACUCAAAAAUAGCAAACCAUAUACCAAAAUGACCAGGAAUGAGUCUAGAUCAUGUAUGUAAAAUUUCAAACAUUUCCAAUUAGGCAUCAAGAUUUCAUGAAUGAAAGAGUGAGUAUGGUGCAACAAGUGACACAUGAAAGUAAACCCUAGGCAUUUAUUUUUUCC